rnacentral:lncRNA from 1 species
CCGGAAAAAUUGAGAUAAGUUCACAUAUAUUCUUCGAAAAAAAGGGGAGCAAAGAUUUUCUCUCAAAGCAUUAUUGCUUCUCAAAUGUUACUUUUAUUCUUGAAAGGUGGAUAUGAUAUCGUAUUAAACAGAUAUUCCUUAUGAGUUCUUAUUGAGUAACAAUAUAUUCAUUGCUUCAUUGUUGCAAUUUCAGCCAACCAGUUUUGCUGAUUGUUCACUUUCAUUGUGUUGAAAGAGGGUAUAGAUGUUUGCCAGGGAACAAUUUGAAGAUGCCAUGAAAUCUUCCGCUGUGGCUAUCUGUCAUUUGAAAGUCUUUCAAAACUGGUUGCCUUGUUAAACAUCACCUUAUUGGACACAUUAUUGGGAUUGCCAAGGAGGGGGAAGUCCUGAUCUAGAGGAGGUCAUGUCUGUUAUUGUCCACUUGCAAUUAUGAUGGGA